CCCUUAGAUGUUCUGGGCCGCACGCGCGCUACACUGAUGCAUUCAGCGAGUCCAACCUUGACCGAGAGGUCCGGGUAAUCUUUGAAACUGCAUCGUGAUGGGGCUAGAUUAUUGCAAUUAUUAAUCUUCAACGAGGAAUGCCUAGUAAGCGUGAUUCAUCAAAUCGCGUUGAUUACGUCCCUGCCCUUUGUACACACCGCCCGUCGCUACUACCGAUUGGAUGGUUUAGUGAGAUUCUCGGACUGGUCCCGGCAUGGUGGGUUACCGCCGCGCCGGCGUGCUAGAAAGACAAUCAAACUUGAUUAUCUAGAGGAAGUAAAAGUCGUAACA
rnacentral:rRNA from 1 species